rnacentral:rRNA from 1 species
UGAGGGAGCUUGCUCCCAAAGAUUAGCGGCGGACGGGUGAGUAACACGUGGGCAACCUGCCUGUAAGACUGGGAUAACUCCGGGAAACCGGGGCUAAUACCGGAUAAUAUCUAUUUAUACAUAUAAUUAGAUUGAAAGAUGGUUCUGCUAUCACUUACAGAUGGGCCCGCGGCGCAUUAGCUAGUUGGUGGAGGUAACGGCUCACCAAGGCGACGAUGCGUAGCCCGACCUGAGAGGGUGAUCGGCCACACUGGGACUGAGACACGGCCCCAGACUCCUACGGGAGGCAGCAGUAGGGA